rnacentral:rRNA from 1 species
UCCGGAUUGCAGUCUGCAACUCGACUGCAUGAAGUCGGAAUCGCUAGUAAUCGCGGAUCAGCAUGUCGCGGUGAAUACGUUCCCGGGUCUUGUACACACCGCCCGUCACACCAUGGGAGUGGGUUUUGCCAGAAGUGGGUAGCUUAACCGCAAGGAGGGCGCUUACCACGGCAGGGCUCAUGACUGGGGUGAAGUCGUAACAAGGUAGCCGUAUCGGAAGGUGCGGCUGGAUCACCUCCUUUCUG